rnacentral:rRNA from 1 species
AGUGAACGCUGGCGGUAGGCCUAACACAUGCAAGUCGAACGGCAGCACAGUAAGAGCUUGCUCUUACGGGUGGCGAGUGGCGGACGGGUGAGGAAUACAUCGGAAUCUACUUUUUCGUGGGGGAUAACGUAGGGAAACGUACGCUAAUACCGCAUACGACCUACGGGUGAAAGCAGGGGAUCUUCGGACCUUGCGCGAUUGAAUGAGCCGAUGUCGGAUUAGCUAGUUGGCGGGGUAAAGGCCCACCAAGGCGACGAUCCGUAGCUGGUCUGAGAGGAUGAUCAGCCACACUGGAACUGAGACACGGUCCAGGCUCCUACGGGAGGCAGCAGUGGGGAAUAUUGGACAAUGGGCGCAAGCCUGAUCCAGCCAUCCCGCGUGGGUGAAGAAGGCCUUCGGGUUGUAAAGCCCUUUUGUUGGGAAAGAAAAGCAGCAGGUUAAUACCCCGCUGUUCUGACGGUACCCAAAGAAUAAGCACCGGCUAACUUCGUG